rnacentral:sRNA from 1 species
UGCCUUUGGUGGAGAGACAGCGGCGACAACAACAGGAAGAAAGAAACCGCUGUCCUUGGUAAUUGAUCUCCGAAACGCCGACGAAGUAACAAAGGG